UAGCAGCACAGAAUGGUUUGUGGUUACACUGAGAUACAGGCCGUACUGUGCUGCAG
ensembl:miRNA gmo-mir-15a gmo-mir-15a